rnacentral:rRNA from 1 species
AGCCUCCCGAAUUAAUAUAGGAGGUGAAACCUGCCCAGUGACUCACGAGUUUAACGGCCGCGGUACCCUGACCGUGCUAAGGUAGCAUAUAAUCCGCCCUUUAAUUGUGGGCUAGAAUGAAAGGACAAACGAGAGCCACCCUGUCUCAAAAAUAUAAAAAUAAUUUUAUCUUCAGGUGAAAAAGCCUAAAUAAACUUAAAAGACAAAAAGACCCCGUAGAGCUUAACUAAUUAACCAAAAAAAAAUUAAGAUAAAUAUUUCCUAUUUUACACACUUUAGUUUAGCUGGGGCGGCUAGAGAGCAAAUACCCUCUCUUACCAACAAAGGAUACCCCCCAAACAAAGAUCCUAAACAGAUUAAAGAACAAAGCUACCUCGGGGAUAACAGGCUAAUAUCUUUUAAGAGUACUAAUCGAAAAAGAAGUUUGGCACCUCGAUGUUGGCUUAGAGAAACCCGGGGGUAGUAGAAGCUCCCAACGGUAGGUUUGUUCAACCUUUAAAUCUCU